AGCUGUUUAAAAUCACUUUAUUCUAAUAAGAAAUAUAACAAACUACAUUUGUUUAUUUGAUGUAUUUUAAAUGUAGAACGAUGUGUUUUUAUAUAAUUAUUUUAAAGUUUGUUGGUUUUACUUUAAUCUGUCUCGUGUGGUUGCAACAACAUCAAAACCUGAAACAACACGAUCAACAGAACCAUCAGAAGUUCGUGCAGAUUGUUCUGCUCUGAUCUACAUAAUGUUGGUGAUGCGUGUGGUUGAAUUCGUCCUCAUCACUGUUGUUACUGUUCUCAUCACUGUUGUUACUGUUCGUCACUUCAGAGCUCGAGCAGGGAACCAGAGACCACCUGAUGACCACACUGUUUCUUACUCAGUAAGAAGCAGAACAGCGAGGCGUUCAGGUCCAGCAGCCAGUCAGG